GUUAGGCUCUCACCAGAACCCCCAAAAUCUUAAUUACUGAUUAAAACCCUCAAACACUCCCCGUUGUCCCGCAAAAUCGAAGCAAGCAGAAUCGCCCAUCUGCACCACCGCUCCGUUGCAUCUCUUUCCCACCGCUUUCCGACCGAUUCCCAAUCUCCGGUGAACGUCGGCUGCCCCACCGUUGCUAUCAAUUCUGCGGUGGAUGAAGAUGCUACCGUUGGACUGGAAGCCUUUUCUCGAAUACCACAUGUUGUGCCAGUAAUUGCUAAUUGCAAAUGCGGGGUUUUCCCGAGUUUAGGCUUGUGAUUUAAACGUUAUCUUAGCGCAGUUUUAAAGAAGAAAAGUAAACAAGAGCUUGUGUAUGAAAUUACAAGAUACAACUGAAUUUACCGAAUCAGAUGCUAUCCGUGAACUUAAAAGUACUCCAGGAUUUGAUAGCAGAGGAUGCUAAUAGUCUUCAAGUGUUCAUUGAUGGUCUCCGUCAAAAGCACUCGGAGCAUGCUAAUAAAAUCCAGAGUUAUAUACAGAACCAGUCAGUUGAUGAAACCGAGAUUAAAUAUUUGCAGGAAGGGGUAAGAGUGCUUCAAUUGUUUUUAAAAGAGGUGAUCGUGUAGGCGAAUUAACUACCUAACACCUGUUAACUGGAAUCUGUAAAGAUGAAGCUUCGGUUGUAAUGAAGGUGUCCAACUAAGAGGGUGAAGGAGGCACGUGAGAGGAUGAAAUUGCUGAUUGUUUUUAAUAUUUAUAAAUAAAACCUGUUUUUAGUUAUAAUUGAGCUGGCCUGUCUAAGAAGUCUGGAGGUUGUGUUUUUGCGCUUCAAGAUGAACAUCUGCAGGCCACCCAACAGUGCACGCAAAGCACCAGAACCACAAUCUUGAUGGUCGUUCAAUCCACAGUCCUGUUUAGCUAGCGGUUACCUCUUUCUAAACAUUUUAACCUUCCGACAAAAGGAAUGAAAGCGUAAUUAGUAACUUCUCUGAGGGAUCCAUAUUUCGCAAGUAGCUGAGCUACAUCAAAAUGGUUUACUCAGAGGAGAUGACAUAACAGACCGCUUCUUCCGGGUUCUUUGGAAAUCUGUGUCACAUUUUGAUGAGGUGAUGCAAUCGACUCCACAAGUGCAGUCCUUCCUCGCCAUUGAUAUUUACGCUAAAUCAGUAUAUUCAAUCUUGAAGCAUUGUCCAGUGGAUCAAAGAUCAAGCAGAAUAGAGUAUGUUUAGGUGCUACUGAGGUAGCUUGGUGUUGCUGCUGUUAGCUUUGUGUUCUGCUUGGUUCUGGUAUUUGGUGGUUUGUACUCCCUAUAAUAUCCCUUGAGUGUUCUCAAGGCUUUGGUUUUUAAUAUAUCCUAAUACACGAGAGCUCGCCCCUUUCUCCUGUGAGUGAGCAAACUAGCAGCCGGUGGAAGGCCCCGCUAACUACUCCAUACAAGAUGAACACUGACGCUGCUACAUCGGUGAGAAUGACAGGGUUGGGUAUGGUGGUCCGAGACAAUGUAGGUGACGUGCUAAUGGCUGCAGGCAUGAGGAUUGAUGCUGCUCUACCAGCUCUGCAAGCUGAAGCUGAAGCAGUACGGUUUGGCACGAGUAUGCUUGUGAAGCAGGCUACCGCUCCCUUGAGGUUGAAACUGAUUCCCUUGCGUUACUGAAGCUAUUGCAGAGGGACAACAGUGAGAGAUCGUCCGUCCAAGUUCUUGUUGAUGGUAUUCUCAGCUAUGCUCAGAAGUUUAUGCGUUGUAGGUUUCUUUUUGCCAGUAGAAUUUGUAAUAAUGUUGCUGAUUCCAUGGCCAAAUCAGCUCUUUCUUUCGAAGAGAUUAAGAUUUUGAUGGAAGAAAGCCCCACUUUUGCUA